rnacentral:rRNA from 1 species
UGGGGAAUUUUGGACAAUGGGGGAAACCCUGAUCCAGCGACGCCGCGUGGGUGAUGAAGGCUUUCGGGUCGUAAAGCCCUGUCUGGGGGGACGAAACUCUCGCCGGUAAACAAUCGGCGAGACUGACGGUACCUCCGAAGGAAGCACCGGCUAACUCCGUGCCAGCAGCCGCGGUAAGACGGAGGGUGCAAGCGUUGUUCGGAAUUACUGGGCGUAAAGGGCGCGUAGGCGGUCUGUUAAGUUCGGUGUGAAAUCCCCCGGCUCACCCGGGGAAGGGCGCCGGAUACUGGCAGACUCGAGUACCGGAGAGGAGGGUGGAAUUCCUGGUGUAGCGGUGAAAUGCGUAGAUAUCAGGAGGAACACCGGUGGCGAAGGCGGCCCUCUGGACGGAUACUGACGCUGAGGCGCGAAAGCGUGGGGAUCAAACAGG